rnacentral:rRNA from 1 species
UUCCUUGGUUACACCAAAUUCUUGCACCCUGAACACACCUGAUCUCGGAAGCUAAGCAAGGUCAGGCCUGGUUAAUAUUUGGAUGGGAGACCUCCUGGGAAUAUUGGGUGCUAUGUGGU